AUGUAUGAAGUAAAUAAAGAAAAGUAUAUUGACAUUUUCUACAUGAUUGUUUUCCAGGUUGGCUGGAUAGAAUACAACUCUAAUGGAGCCAGUUUUGCUGGAUUUAGACCCCUUCCCAGGCCAUAUUCAGGAAAAAAACUGUUUGGAAAACAACUCUUGGGCCAAAUCUUAAAGGAGGUGGUGUCCACGAGUUGGAGAGAGGGAGGAAGGAAGGAGGAAGGCAUUCCAGUUGCAGAAAGAGAAGCUGAAAGACCAGCUAGGCAUGUGGCAGCUUUGGUGCAAAUGUUUUGGGUUAACCAUGAGUCUGAGAGGCAGAAGUGUAAAUAGGGACAAGCACUACAAAUAGCAACCAGGGCUCUGUCCCCAGUGCAGGAGGGAGAGAAUUUGGGUCAGGCUUUCAGUAACCCCUGCACACACCUCUAGCUAUUUCUAUCAUCUCUAGAGGGUGAUGGGUGGGAAGACAGUCAGUCCAAUGAUUUUAUCUCUCUGGGGAACUUCUGAUAUGGGCAUUCUCUCCAGUAAUGCAGAUCUAAAACUCCGUAAUUUAGUUUUAGAGAGUUGCCUGAGGCACUGAAAGAUUAAGUGACAUCUAGGGUAAUAUGGUGAGUAGGUGUUGGAAACUGGAGUUAAGCCCAAGGCUUCUUGCUCUGAGGCUGUCCUGUUCACUAUGCAGUCAUAUAUAAACACAAAAGACAACAAUCUACACAUCCCUUAGUUCAUACCUUCCAAGGAACUUGACACUAUUCAGUAGAACGAGUCAUUCAGCCUCCCCAAAGCUGUAUUAGUUAAGGAGGCAAGUCUCAGAGAGGAAACCCCUUGCUUCUCUUAAAUCUGUGCCCCAAGACUGGUGAAUAAUCAUUCAUCUCUGCAGAUCAAAGCACACCAUCCUUCAUGCAUUGUUGGGGGGAUUUUAAAUUGUAAAUAUGAUAUGUGUCUUCAAUCAUAACAUGGGGAAUAUGGAAAUACUGAAAAUGAAUGAAUGAAAGCACUAGUAUAACUUAUAUCUGACUACUUAUUGUCUGGGGAGGGGGGAGAAGAAGAAUCACAAAAUGUCAGAAAACAUUUGUCAAAAAUGGUUUCUAUAUGUAAUUAAAAAAUAAAAUUUAAUUAAAUUUUUUAAA
rnacentral:lncRNA from 1 species